rnacentral:rRNA from 1 species
AUUGAACGCUGGCGGCGGGCCUAACACAUGCAAGUCGAGCGAGCGGCGGACGGGUGAGUAAUAUCUGGGAAACUGCCUGAUGGAGCGGGAUAACUACUGGAAACGGUAGCUAAUACCGCGUUCCGUCAGAUGUGCCCAGGUGUGAUUAGCUAGUAGGUGGGGUAACGGCUCACCUAGGCGACGAUCCCUAGCUGGUCUGAGAGGCUGACCAGCCACACUGGAACUGAGACACGGUCCAGACUCCUACGGGAGGCAGCAGUGGGGAAUAUUGCACAAUGGGCGCAAGCCUGAUGCAGCCAUGCCGCGUGUGUGAAGAAGGCCUUCGGGUUGUAAAGCACUUUCAGCGGGGAGGCGUUACCCGCAGAAGAAGCACCGGCUAACUCCGUGCCAGCAGCCGCGGUAAUAC